rnacentral:sRNA from 2 species
AUGCUGUGAAAGAUCUAUCCAAGGACUUUACGUUCUACGGAUGGUUUUCAUUUCGAGGGCUAAAUAUUUAUCACAAGCCUCUUAUUUGCUUAACUUUGGAACUCAAAAGCCAUUGUAGGGUUAGCAUAUAUUUCCGUGCAGGGAAUAUUGGCUAUUCUCACUGGAUUUGGGAACCUCAACCAACAUUCAGUCUGUCUGCUGGAUGUAAUAAAUAGAUGUCUUUUCAUUCAUCAUAAUAUAGGGGAACAUUCUAUGAUAUUGUAAAUAAUAAAAAUUACCAACAUCGCAUUGUCGCACGAAGAUUAAGGAAUUUCUAGGUCCGAAAGGCGAAAACAACUUGAAGCCAACCUAUUGAGAAAUCAACUAAUCUCCAUGCUCUUCAAAUUUGUGAUGCAGUGCAAGAAGCCUCCCAUAUCAUGAGAAACGCCUGAUGCUACUUUCAAUCCUAAACGGAAGGCUAUUAAUAUACCA